AGUAACGCGUGAGGAACCUGCCUUGGAGUGGGGAAGUAACACGGCGAAAGUCGUGCUAAUACCGCAUAAUGUAGCUGGGCCGCAUGGCUCUGGCUGCCAAAGAUUUAUCGCUCUGAGAUGGACUCGCGUCUGAUUAGCUAGUUGGCGGGGUAACGGCCCACCAAGGCGACGAUCAGUAGCCGGACUGAGAGGUUGACCGGCCACAUUGGGACUGAGACACGGCCCAGACUCCUACGGAAGGCAGCAG
rnacentral:rRNA from 1 species